CACAGAGGGUGCGAGCGUUGUUCGGAAUUAUUGGGCGUAAAGGGCGCGUAGGCGGUGCGGUAAGUCACCUGUGAAAUCUCCUGGCUCAACUGGGAGCUUGCAGGCGAAACUGCCGUGCUGGAGUGUGGGAGAGGUGAGUGGAAUUCCCGGUGUAGCGGUGAAAUACGUAGAGAUUGGGAAGAACACCAGUGGCGAAGGCGGCUAUCUGGACGGUUUCUGACGCUAAGACGCGAAAGCGUGGGGAGCAAACAGG
rnacentral:rRNA from 1 species